UUGCAUUGGAUCGGUGCAAACUCGAGUCUGGCUUCUUUAAUGGGCGGCUCAAAUUCUGUCCUCCGGGCUAAAAUAACAAAAAAACAAGUCCAGGCCCGUUGGAAAUGGUUUGGGCACCCCGGUGAUUGUACUGCUGCCACUCCAGUGACCAAGGAUUCCCAAUGGGAGGAGCCACGAGAAGUGGCGGAGCGAGACGCCUCUCUCCGAUCACUACCUAGUCGUUUUCGCCGCCUCCGCUUCCUCUUCUCCUCUUCCGAGGGACGCGAACGCCUGGAGGCGUUUCUACAGGCGCUAUUCCAUCGAAAGAUUAUUCGAGUGCAGGCAAUGCUUCAAUCAUGCUUUCACCACAGAUGAUAUUCCUUAGACCUUCGCUGCUAUGAGCCUUCAGGAGCUUGGUGAGGAAGUUUGGUAUCCAGAUACUGGAGCAUCUAAUCAUAGGACUACUAACUCUGGACCUGGAAACGGGGAAGGAGCUUCUCAGAUGCCGUAGUUCGGGAACUUCACCCUAUCCAAUUUCUUCUAGAGUUGUGCUAAUUGGGUUGGCUGUCCAGAUACACGGAGGUCUACUUCAGGGUAUUGCAAAAGGGUAUUGCAAAUCUCAUUUUACAUGUCCGUACAAAGCACAUUGAACUUGAUCAUCACUUCUUAUGGGAGAAAGUUCAAUCGAGUGAUUUGGAUGUGGUCCAUAUCUCUUCUGAUAAACAACUUGCUGACAUCUUUACAAAACCUUUGACCACUUCUCGGUUUUUGCUUUUGCGAACCAAUCUUCAUCUCCAUGCCAAGGAUGCUCAGCUUGCGGGGGAAUGUUAAGAUAUAUUUAGUAUUUUAGUAUUGCAUAUUUCUUUUCAUAUAUAAUGGAUAUUUCUUUUCAUGUAUAGUGGAGGUUUUUGUGGCAUUAUUGCUGUAUUAUUGCUGGCCUAUGUUACCAUAUGUGUUGGUCUAUGUUGCCAUAUGUGUAUAUUCUGUAUUCUAUAUAUUUUGAUCAAUGAAACCCGUAGAGGGCAAGCUCUUUUAUCCCUCUUUCA